AUUGAACGCUGGCGGCAGGCUUAACACAUGCAAGUCGAGCGGGGUGAUGGUGCUUGCACUAUCACUUAGCGGCGGACGGGUGAGUAAUGCUUAGGAAUCUGCCUAUUAGUGGGGGACAACAUCUCGAAAGGGAUGCUAAUACCGCAUACGUCCUACGGGAGAGAGCAGGGGAUCACUUGUGACCUUGCGCUAAUAGAUGAGCCUAAGUCGGAUUAGCUAGUUGGUGGGGUAAAGGCCUACCAAGGCGACGAUCUGUAGCGGGUCUGAGAGGAUGAUCCGCCACACUGGGACUGGAACACGGCCCAGACUCGUACGGGAGACAGCAGUGGGGAAAAUUGGACAAUGGGGGGAACCCUGAUCCAGCCAUGCCUCGUGUGUGAAGAAGGCCUUAUGGUUGUAAAGCACUUUAAGCGAGGAGGAGGCUCUUUUGGUUAAUACCCAGAAUGAGUGGACGUUACUCGCAGAAUAAGCACCGGCUAACUCUGUGCCAGCAGCCGCCGUAA
rnacentral:rRNA from 1 species